rnacentral:lncRNA from 1 species
CUCCUUUUUCUCAAUACAUGUUUUCAUACGUUGACCACUUAUCUCUUGCCCCUGCCUUUCGGUUCUAGCCACUGACUGGCCUUAUUUCAGUGACAUUUUAUGAAUCAGAGGAAAAAAAAGAGAGUAGAAAAGACGUAAAAUGGGGUAAACAGUAGUUGAUUACUAAGCUCCAGUCUUUAACACAACAAUCAGACACAUAAGCUUCAUAAUUCAGCAUAUGCAUGCAGUAGCACAACUAAUAAACAGAACAGAAGCAGAAAUUCUACAAAUUCCUCUCAUGCAUGAUCCAUCAAUAAUUUUGAAACCAUUACCAUCUAUGAUGCAAGUGUGCCUGUUUGAGCAUCAUAUGUUAAGUAUUAAAAAUAUAUUUGAUCUGUUGGUUCAAGUUCCACAUAAAGUAUGAUUUUAACUUGAAACAUACUAGUUAUAUGGUUUAGAAUAGAGAACAAAAACACUCCGGCAAGAAUGAGCCAAAAAUAUGUCAAAACAGUAUCAUAUACUACAGAAUCAUGUUUUCUUGAUUUGACAGUUCUUUUCUCAUAUGCACUACAGGAAAAAGUAGCAUGAAAAGAAUUGCAAAAUAGCAAGAAAUUAUUAAAUCGAGAAAUUUAAAGCAGCAGUUUUCAAUCUGAUUUUAAGUUAAGAGGAGCAAUUAUCUACUUACAAUUUUGGCAAUGUUAAUAAAUAAUCCUGAAAAGACUUGUAGCCGAGUGAAAGCAGCACAUGGGAGGGAAGGCCAUGCAUAGUCACCUUCAGUUCAAAAUAGGCCACUUGGUGCAUACGGUUGGUCCACUUUACCAUUCUCAGAUAGGCCACUUGGUGCAUACGGUUGGUCCACUUUACCAUUCUCAGCAAUGUCUGGUGGACCACUGCGACAUACAAUGAGCAUGCACAAUAGGAAGUUGGUCAGCUGGUCCAUCCAUAUUACUUGUAGUAUCUUGCUUAUUUUGUAGUUCCAA